AAUACAGCAUUAAAUAUAUGAAAUUUGGCAAUACGUACAGAACAGAGUCUGGAGAUUUUCUUGCACAAUAUGAAAAUAAAACUGCUAUAAAACUGUACGGGCCUUGACUGUGGUCACUGGAGAAAUAUGGAGGGGCUCCAACAUAGCAAACUUGGAAUAAAUUAGAUGGAAGGAGAGACAUAUUAACAGAUUUAGAGAUCGUUACAGUCAAAACUGUUCUUUAUAUGUGACCACAGUCUCAAUCUUUGGACCCCUGCUCCUUUUAUGUCCAGAGAUGUGAGGGGCAAAACCUCCCUGAUCCUGUUUACUGUGCUCUUUCUCAUAAAUCUUUAUGCCUCAUUUUAUGGUAGUCAUCAUAAUAAGUUAAACUUAAGGUCAUCAUGUUGACAUCCGAAAGCAAAUUAACCCUACAAUGAAUGCUGAAUGAACAAAUAAUUUACCAGAGUUAUUAUACCAAAGCACAGAGAGUGAUCCACCAUUCUGCUUUAAGGACAAACUGGAGAGAGUGGAGGUAGCCUUUUUAAGAAAACAUCCCAUCAUACUGUGCUUUAUCCCUCUUGGCUGGAGA